rnacentral:rRNA from 1 species
GGAAACCCAGUGUGUUUCGACACACUAUCAUUAACUGAAUCCAUAGGUUAAUGAGGCGAACCGGGGGAACUGAAACAUCUAAGUACCCCGAGGAAAAGAAAUCAACCGAGAUUCCCCCAGUAGCGGCGAGCGAACGGGGAGGAGCCCAGAGCCUGAAUCAGUGUGUGUGUUAGUGGAAGCGUCUGGAAAGGCGCGCGAUACAGGGUGACAGCCCCGUACACAAAAAUGCACAUAUUGUGAGCUCGAUGAGUAGGGCGGGACACGUGGUAUCCUGUCUGAAUAUGGGGGGACCAUCCUCCAAGGCUAAAUACUCCUGACUGACCGAUAGUGAACCAGUACCGUGAGGGAAAGGCGAAAAGAACCCCGGCGAGGGGAGUGAAAAAGAACCUGAAACCGUGUACGUACAAGCAGUGGGAGCCUCUUAAUGGGGUGACUGCGUACCUUUUGUAUAAUGGGUCAGCGACUUAUAUUCUGUAGCAAGGUUAACCGAAUAGGGGAGCCGAAGGGAAACCGAGUCUUAACUGGGCGUUAAGUUGCAGGGUAUAGACCCGAAACCCGGUGAUCUAGCCAUGGGCAGGUUGAAGGUUGGGUAACACUAACUGGAGGACCGAACCGACUAAUGUUGAAAAAUUAGCGGAUGACUUGUGGCUGGGGGUGAAAGGCCAAUCAAACCGGGAGAUAGCUGGUUCUCCCCGAAAGCUAUUUAGGUAGCGCCUCGUGAAUUCAUCUCCGGGGGUAGAGCACUGUUUCGGCAAGGGGGUCAUCCCGACUUACCAACCCGAUGCAAACUGCGAAUACCGGAGAAUGUUAUCACGGGAGACACACGGCGGGUGCUAACGUCCGUCGUGAAGAGGGAAACAACCCAGACCGCCAGCUAAGGUCCCAAAGUCAUGGUUAAGUGGGAAACGAUGUGGGAAGGCCCAGACAGCCAGGAUGUUGGCUUAGAAGCAGCCAUCAUUUAAAGAAAGCGUAAUAGCUCACUGGUCGAGUCGGCCUGCGCGGAAGAUGUAACGGGGCUAAACCAUGCACCGAAGCUGCGGCAGCGACACUAUGUGUUGUUGGGUAGGGGAGCG